GGCAUGUUAAAAUAGAUGAACAGGAAAUGAUUUCUGACCAGAAGGGGCCUGUGGUGCAGCCAACCAGGUAGCAACAAAAGGCUCCUCCUAGUUCUGACCCUUCCCACACCUAAAACAUGUCCUACAAGUCUGAGUGAGACCCAACAUGUUGAGCAUCUUGCCACUGUAUCCUUACCCCUCCUUUCCCAAAUCUAUAUAAACCCUGUUCACCCCCAAGAUGGGGCUGAUCACUUUGUGGAGAAGUCCCCCAUCAGUCUGGUAGUGAAAUAAACCUGCCUCCAACUUCCAGGAUGUGUACUUGAUUCUUCUUGGCUUGACUCUGUUAUACUACCUAGAGCUACAACACUGCAACUUAUAUUUGCUACAAUAUCUUGGUGCUUUGGCAGGGAAAAAUCGACAGUGCUAAGUUUAAAAUCACUGGUGAAGCCCUUGUGGAAGGAGUGAAGAUCCCCCACCCCCACCCUGCACCCCAGAUGGACGAGAGGCAUGCCUCCAGAUUUUUCUGAGUCUCCUUGGAGGAGUGGGGGUGGACUGCUCAUUCUACUGCUUGUGGCUCCCCUGGACCCAGAAGGAAAGAGGACGCAGGUCUGGUUUAAUCCAACCUCAUCAUCAGAUAAGGCUCUUCCUGCCAGCCCAUGAGGACAAAGUCCCUAAGGAAGCAGUAUUGAAAUGCUUUGCCUCUGAAGGUUUGACAGGUAAAAAUAUGUAAAUGAAUGUAAUGGGAAAAGUAAUCUAUAGGCUGUCCCAACAGGUAAGUUUUCUUUCAUAGGCUCUAACUGGUUUUUUUGCUUCAUAGAUUGUAACUUUUGUUUCAUAGGCUCUGAACAUUUGUUUCUUAGAUUCUUGUUUUUGUUUCAUAAAUUCUGGCCUUUGUUUCAGCUUUUGUUUCAAAAGUGUCUUAAUUUUAAAUUGUAUGUUUUAAAUGUUGGCAGAUUUCUUAUAUCUCUUAUGCAUUGUCCUUUGAUAAAAUUACAUUUUAUUCCUGUUUUGUAUAUGUUGCAUUUGGAUUUAAUUGCUUAAAAAUGUUGUAAAAUGGGUCUCUUAUGACAUUUUCUCAGAUAAAGACAGAUUUUAUUUGUCCCUUAUAGAAUGCCAAAAAGUGGUUACUCUGCCAGCUAGUAAUUGCCCUUAGGGUAGCUGCUACUCUUAAAGCAAAGGAUAGGUUUCUUCAGUUGCUCUCUGGUAAAUCUGUGCUCCCAUUGAAGCUAAUGAUGGGUGGGACAUUGACCAGAUAGGUAAUUGGGUUCCUUUCAGAGACAGAUCUGUGAUUGCAUGAAACUAGUGGAAACUGGGGUGACAAUUGAGUGGUCAUGGCCAGGGCUACUCUCUGGUGGAUACCCAAAUGUCCCUCAGAAGAAACUAGCUCCCAACAGCCCAUCUGAGUAAUCAGCAGAAAAAUCUUCCCAUCUCAUCCCUAUCUGAGCUCUUCAAUGAGUUGAAAGAGAAACUGUCAGUGAUCAUCAGAUAGCCUCUGUCUCAGAGUGAUCUGUAAUGAUGCAAUCAGAACCCUUUCUUAAGCCUCUACUAAGAUUUGAGAUACAAAUUUCAACUGCUUUCUCUACUAGUAAGAUAGGACCCCAUGUCAGACAUUAAAAAGCAAAUCUUUCAUAGAUUAAAAACUACCUGAACCUUCUCUCCCCCUCCUAAGCUUGGUCUUCAUUAUUUGUGUGUGUAGAAAAUACCUCUGCUGAUAGGCUGUGGACUCUGGAAGUUUGUGGACUUUAAAGUGCUAUGUGGUGAUUUUCUUUUUGAUGUUUAAAUGACUUAAACUUUGUUUGGACUUUUUCUCUCAACAAGUGAGUUAGAAAUUCCACUUAAACUUUUCUCCAACUUGUUGGGAGUUAAUUUUAAAAUUAAUGACCUUAUAGUUAACCCUCUCUUUCCAAGGGGUCAAUCUGAGACAGCUUACAGAAGCUGUUUUGUCUUACAGGAGGGAAAAUGGCAACCAGUUGGUGACUUGCAUUUGUGUUUUUAUGUGCUAACUAGAAUAAAAUAAUUUAGCCAGCCUUUUUCUUCUUGUAUGUGUAAGAAACUGAUAAAGGUGCCUUUAAUAAUAUAUGGAUUGUGGCUGCUAAGAGGAUCUAUGAGUUUCAAAUACUUAGUGAACUUAAAAUGGAUCUUAAAGGAGUAGCCUGAUCUUGCUGCUAAUAAAGGUUGCCUAAGUAAAUUUCUGAGAUUUCUCUGACCUAGGGCCCAGGGCAGAAUCUCUGACCUACCAUCUCUAGAGGUGAUCUCUUUUACAGAAAAGUGGCCUAAUUUGACUGUUGACCUAUUUUCUUCUCUUUCAAGAAACUAGAAAGCAAUGGUUUAAAUCUCUUGGUUUGCUAGCAAUAUACCCUUCUCUAAAAAUGAUUGUUAUGGCUAAGUCAAUUGUAACUAGUGCUUUGAGAGUAUCUACUGGAGUAAGGAUAUGAGUUCCCUGAGGAAGAUAAGAUCAUGAUGCUAAUAAAGGAUUGAGAACUCCAUAUCUGAACCUUAAACUCCUUUGGAAUGUAUUAAGGAACAAUUUAGUAUUUUUCGACAUCUGGACACGGCGUGCCUACCCCUAGAGCCAAAAUAAAAUGUAGAGAAAAAUGUUAUGAUGCUAUUUCAGAACUAAAAAUAUACUGUAAAAAAUGGUCAAAAUUGCCUUUUGUUCAGACUUUCUUUACAUUAAAAAGUAAUCCUUGCUUUUGUUCAAAUGUAAAUGUGGGCCAUAGAAAAACCCUUAAGGCAUUCAGUACCUCUAAGCCUGAGGCUAUACCUUAUCCUUUAGAACCUGAGAACAAAGUUUCCAGAGAAUUUUAAGGUCUAACCACUGGGUACUGAGGGUGGAAUUUCUAGGCCAGCCAUAAUUAAAAUCUCUAUGAGGCUAUAUCCAUCCUUACCUAAGUUGUUAAGUCCCCCAAAGACAUAUCUCUUGGAGAAAAUAAAUAGCAAAUAUGGGACUACCUGUGUGCACGUAUCUUUUUCUCAGUGACCUAAAAGAGGUCAAAUGAGAUCUAAAAAAGUUUUCAGAUGAUCCUUAUCUGUACAUUGAGGUCUUUAGAGAAUUUACUCAGAUCUAUGGACUAGAUUAAAAAGAUGUAAUGUUGCUCUUAAAUCAAACAUUAAUUUCCAAUGAGAGACAAGCAGUAUUCCAAGGUACAUUUAGAAAUACAUUGUUUUGAUUUUAAAAGUUAAAGACAGGCAGCCAGGGGAACAACUAGUUUCUACAGGAAAACAACAAGUUCCUCUAUAAGACCCCCCACUAUCCUGCCAAUCAAAUAAGAGAUUAAAAUAAAAGACAUUUUAAGGCAUGUAUUCUUAAAGAGCUAAGAAAGAUGAGAACUAAGCCCUUCAAUUGCUUUAAAUUGUCAACUAUUUAUCAGGACAAAGUUGAGGACAUUCCUACAUCCUGAUUUGAUAGAAGGAAAUACUGUGUUUUUUUCCAAGUCAGUCUUGCAAUAUGUAAAUGGUAUGCUGUUAUGUAUCCCCUCAAAAGAGCUUUCUAGCCAAGACAUCUGUGCUUUGCUGAAUUUUCCAACAGACAGGGGUUAUAAUGUUUCUAGAUCUAAGGGACAACUUUGCAACCUUGAGGGAAGAUAUUUAGGCCUUAUUAUAUAUAAGGGAACCCAAAGACUAAGGAAAGAAAGAAUUAAACCAAUUCUUUCCUCUCCACAGCCCAAGACUUUAAAAUAGCUAAAGAGAUUCUUUGAAAUUACAGUCUUUUGUCACUUUUAAAUAACAAUGUUGCAGAAAUCUCAGAAAGAAAUACACGGAGUCACAGAAUUCAGAUAAAAUAAUAAAACUUCUCGCGAGCAGGCGGGAAGGCCAGAAACCAGUCUGGCUAGUAUCAGCUAGUUCAGAGUUUCCCUUUUUAUAUCCUUUUUUAGCCAUUAUCUCAUCCCUAGUGGUCUUUGAUGUGUAAAUACAAUUCGGGUUCCUAUUUACAAGUCACAGACACAAGAUAGGGACAUAUACAUUGUAAAUUCACCCUGGCAUGGCAACUUUGUUAGUUUAAUGAAGUUACCCAUUAUAGUCAGAUAAUCAUCACCAUAAACAAGGAGUUAUAGGAAAAGCAAAUCUUAAAAGAACACAUUACUUAUUUUGCUUCUACAAUUACCUUAAUAUUCAAUCUAUUAAGUUAUCUAAAACUUUUCUGUAUCAAAAGGAUAUAAUGAGAUUGCAUGAUCCCUUUAUCAAUUUAUAGAAAACCCCAAAAGACAGAUACCUAUAUUUUAAUCUGGGAACCUUAUUCCCAGACCACAUUCCAGAAGCUCAAACAAACACUUCUAAGUGCCUGCCUAUCAGAUACCAUCUCAGUUUGUACGUUAAUAAAUGAGACAUGGCUUUAGGAGUGUUUCUACAAGAUUGGGGACCUGCUCAAAAGCCUGUAGGGUAUUUAAGUCAUACAUUAGUUAUCAUAGAUUCAAAAUCAUUUAUUUAAAAAGAAAAGCCCUAAAUAAUAUAGUUAAAACACUUUCAUUCUCACUCUUUCAAGAAGAAAAAACAGCCAUUCAGUUUCUUUGAUUAUUUGUUUAAUUUUCUGAUUGACAAUGCGAUUGGAAUUAAUCAUGGAUUUGUCUCUAGACAAAAAGGUCCACUAUAAAAAAAAAGGUCCACUAUAAAAAAAAAGGCUCUGGGGCCAGGGAUUUAGCUCAAUGGCACUGCACCUAUCUUCCAAGUGCAAGGUCCUGAGUUCAAUCCUCAGUACCAAAAAAAAAAAGAUUCAGUACUUGUGCCAUACUUAAAGUCACCCUUCUGUCCCUUCUUCACUGUCAUGCCCCUGAGAAAUAACACAGUUCUCAACAGUAUUUGAUUCAAGGAGCUUCCCUCAUCUGUGGCUGCUGGAUUUCAAGUCAAAGUUCCUAGAAUGGUAAGUUUCCCAUCAUAUGAACCCUUCCAGAGUAAAGCUGACCUUCACUUAUUUCUGGGCCAUGUAAAAAUGGUUUAGGUUUAAUCCUGAAACUCUUGAAGACUAAAUGUAAAUGUUAGCCUAAAUUUAUUUUUCAGUCCUCCGGCAGAAUUUGAGAUGAACUCCUUUUAUGUUCCUCAAGAAUGAUGAUUAAAAAAAAGAGUGAUGAUAGAAAAAUGUAAUUAAAGACAUGCUUCCCUCAGGUUGCCAGAUGAUCCAAAUAAUGUCAACUGGUUUUACAAAUAUAGUACAUAUCGUUGUCUAUAUAUAAUAACUGAAGAAACUUUCAUUGGUCAAAAAUACUGUGUUAUUUGUUAUGAUCUGGCUCUCAUAGGUCAUCUAAAAUUCUGAUAAGAUAAUUAUAUAGACUCUUGGGCUUAAGAAAAUUACUGGACAGGACUCCCCUUGGUAAAUAAAGGAGAGGCUGGCUGGAAAAAAAUUUAUUCCAGCCUUUCUUCAUAAAGGGGACCUUAACAAUUGUAAGACUGAGGGCCUUACCAAACGCUCCGAGGAGCUGACUGCAGCGACGAACACUCGGGAAGGAACACACCGGACAAGUUGAAAAAAUGAAACAGACCUUUAUUAGUCUGGCCAGAUGGCACUCUCAAAGCAAAAUAGCUAAGAGAGGCAACUGGCUCAGAGUCCGAGUUUAUUUUAUAGGGGGUUGAGGGGGAAGUUAACAAGCAGAUUUACGAAAGGGGACAAAGUUUAGUGGUCACUUGAUGUAUGUUGAUAAUCACCAGACAUCUUGACUAAUAGUCAUGGCCGUCGCGUACUAGUGGUCGGCAGAUGUUUGCAAUGUUUGUAGAUCGUUCUAAUAGAUAGCAAUGUUCAGGACAUCAGUUCUGGACAGUGAAUUAGGUGACACACUUUAGGCAUUUUAACUAAUUUUAACAAUCUAAAGCUAGCAGGCACAGAGCAUGAGUGAGGUCAUUAGAAUUAAACAUCCUGGGGUUAGGAUAAAAUCUUACAGCCCCACACAAUCUCCAUACCUUUGUGGGAAAUGCACUGCUAAAUAUUAUUAUUGUGAUAUGUAUACAUUGGUCUCAUUGUCAAAGAGCUAAGUUUUCUGUGGGAAAACAAUAAAGAUUUUAUUUAAAAUGUUCUGGUACAAAACAAAAUUAAGGGACAAAGGGUUUCAUGUAACUGAUACUCAUUGUUAUUUCAUGGUAUACUAAAUAUUCAUGCCUUCUGGCUGAGCAUGUCUCCUAAGAUAUUGUUUAUGUUUUUGACCAUUUUGACUCAGUUAUCUGCCUUUCUCUUGUGGUCCAUCUACUUGUGGUAAGAUGUACGUAUCAAAUCAACAUGAGAUAACCAAUCAAAUAAUACUUUUUCUUAAGAACUUAUGUGAUGGGGAUGUUAUGUGUUACUAUACUUAGGGAUGCUCAGAAGUCAAACAGUCCAAACAAUGUCACACAUUAAAAUGAAGGGCUAGACAUUAUAAACUAAGGUAUAUUUAUAGGCUGAUAUGUGUGUUCUCUUUAGAUGACAUUCUACUAAAGGAUAACAAAUAAGAGUUUUCUAUGUGAUGUUUAAUGUCUUGUAGUCAAAUAGAGUUGCUUGACUAAAAGACUAUUCCAUACUAAGAUGGACAUUUGAGUGUGUUACAAAGAUAAUGUCAUCAUGAUUGUCAUGCUAAAAUAUGAGUGGCUCUUGAUGUUGUUUUUCUAUAUAAUAAAUAGCUGUUCUCUGUUGACAUUCUACAGGAAUUCAACUACUAAAACAACCAUGGUUGAUAAAAAAAUAACAAUCCUCUAACUAUACUUUAUAUUUCAAAAGUGCUUAACGUUCAACAAAAUUAUAAUAGUGACCUUUUCUUCUGGGUGUUCAACUAAGGUUUGGAGACCAAAACUAAAAUGGUAACUGGGCUAUAAGGACAGCUAAUAUUUUGGCCCUAGCCCCUCAAGGUUAACAAAGAUCCAGGACACAAAGGAACCUUUUCUACAGGAUCCUUCAUCUUUGGUAAGUAACUCAACCUACUGAACAGGAGAUUGCUGGGCACCAGAGGACAAAUAUGUCAGGUAAAACGGCCAAAAACCAAGACCAGACCAGGCCACAACAAGCCUUUAUUAGGGGAAUAGAUCUGCCGGGCUGUCUCUGAACAAAGGAGAGACAAAAGCAAUAUGGCUGGGGCAGAGAGUGUCUUUUAUAGAGACUGGGGUGGGGCUAUAGGGGCUGAGGUGGGGUUGAGUGAGGUAGUGAUUAGGGAGUGGAGGAGCUGGUGAUGUCACUAGGUAGUAGGAGGUGAGCGAGUAUUAGGUUACUGUCUAGGUGGGACCAGGGGCAUGCUGGGAAGAAGGGUUUGUUCUUUGGGGGAAGCAACCAUCUUGGCAUGACAUCAUGCAAGGGAGGGGGCAAGGCACCCUAGGAAGAGGGUAGCUACUAUACAUAAUAGCUGCUGGCAUAGUGGGAGACCUAUCAAAAUGUACCAUGUGCAAAAAGAGGGUCACAAAGAGAAAAGGCUCCCAUGCUUUCACUGAAAGCACCAUGGUCAAGCAAGGUCAUGACCCAUCCUGCAGGCUGAUCCUGAUAGUAGCUGAGAGGCUCUGUACAUGGUUCCAAAAUAAUGCCUAAGGAGACUUAAUUGAUCUUGAUAGAUAGCAAGAGGUUCAUACUGAUUGACACAGGUCUUAUUUUAACUUGGUCUUAAACACUCAGUAAAAAAGAGUAACAAAAAUGUUAUAAAAUAAUAUCAUAGUAAUAAAGCUAGAUAUAAAAAGAUAUAAAAAGGGCUCAAUCAGUGACCACUUCUGGCAGUUUCCAGCUACACUGGUAGCUGACCAUGGUUAUGGAUCAUUAGGAAAAACUAUGGAAACAUCUAUAAAAGCUCAAUUAGAGUUUUAAAUUUCUUAGCUAAAUUUGUCUUUCAAAUUUUCUCUAUCUUACAGCUAAGACUGGAGAGACUUAUGACAAAAAUAUCAGAUUUAUAGAUAACCUCUGUCAAUAAAAGUAUAUAAGAACAAACAGGUUUUAAUCACCAUUUCAGUUUUUAAUUGUGACUCUUUCCCCAACCUGCCUUUCCAUUCUAGUGUUCACACUUACAUUAUACAUGGUCUAAUUUCUUUAGAAUUUUGUUUAUUCUUGCCUAGAGGCUGCCAAACUCCAAAUGGUCAUACAAAUGGAACCAAAGACAAAUGUGCUGGACUUCUUUUACCAGAAUCCACCAGAUGGACCUUAUAAAAAGUUCAUAACUGCUAAACUACAAUUCUGAAGUCACCUGGGCCUUCUUCUUAUCCUCUUUAUGGAAGGCUAUUACUAAUUCUUCUUGACUUAAAGCUACCCAAGAUGACAAUGGCUAGUGCCUGUUGAGGGCCUUUAGAUAGACCCUCUAUAGAGUAUCUCUGACUGCUGAACAGAACUACAACCUCUUCAGCCAGAAAUAGCCAGAAUGUUCUUCACCCCUUGCCCUCUCAUGGCAGUUCGGGAUACUUUGUCAGAGAGGGGAUAUUAUAGAUAGACAGUUAGACAUUUAGGGUCCCCUUCAAGGCACCAGCCCUCAAGGCCCCAGUCCUCAAGAUGCCAGCCCUCCAAGAGCCAACACAGCGAGGAGGCAACAGGGAGAAGAGUUGAGGCACAUUCACCGGUUCCACCAAGAUUAUUGUAUGGGGCUGUUAAAGUUUCAGAGAUCCAGUCAUGGAUUCGUCACUCUUGAAUCAAAAAGGCCCAUCACGAUGACUCUUGGGAGGCCCACACUGAUGAAACAACUCCAUUAACAAUAACACUGAGGAGACAACAUACUCAAAGCCCUGUUCCUGUCACUCCAGACACUGGCAGGCCAACAGAUGGCUGAAGCCUGUCUGAGGACCUCAACCCAUGAACCACUGCCACGCUUUCCAGACUUGGUCUCCCUGGCAUCUUUAUUCUUGCUUACCUCAUCAUGACUACCUUUAUUCUUGACAUAGGCCUAAUAACUGUUACUCCAGAGGACUGGAAUACUUUCCAAAGAUGUUUCCUCUUAGCUAUAUGCUGGGGUUUUAUGGUGACAUUUGCUAUCCUAUCUUGUCUAGAUUGACUCAGAAAAUCCCUGAGAACUGGUGGGGUGUCUUAGGUGACUGGAAGACAUGGUUAGGGGCUUUAUUAGGAUCUCUCUUUGGUAUCUUCAUGUUAUUAACAAUCAAUCUGUGCUUUAUAAACUGGUUCAUAUACUUUAUUUCUCAAUGCCUUAACACCAUUAAGAUCCAAAAAUCAUACUAAUAGAUGGUGACUUCAAGGUCUGAUGUGUACCCUUACACAUGUAAAAACAUAAACCAGCAAAGAAGUUGAAGAUUCAGCUAUAAUCAAAAAGAGGAGGGAAUGAGCAGGAUAUGAUUUCUGACCAGAAGGAGCCUGUGCUGCGGCUAACCAGAUAGCAACAAAAGGCUCCUCCUACUUCUGACCCCUCCCACACCUAAAACAUGUCCUGCAAGUCUGAGUGAGACCUGGACAUGUUUUCCUCCAGUGUCCUUUGUUCUCAGUAGGGUUUCUGUGACUCACGAUAUGUAAAUAAAGUGAAUCCUAGUGUACCUUUCUAUCCAAUUUCAUAAGUUGAACGUGUCUACCUCAAACAAUGAACUAAUGUUGAGUGUCAUGCCACUGUAUCCUUACCCCUCCUUUCCCAAAUCUAUAUAAAUCCUGUUCACCCCCAAGAUGGAGCUGAUAAUUUUGUGGAGAAGUUUCCCAUCAGUCUGCUAGUGAAAUAAACCUGCCUCCAACUUCCAGGAUGUGUGCUUGAUUCUUCUUGGCCCGACUCUCUUAUACUAUUUAGAGCUACAAUACUGCAAGUUAUAUUUGCUACAAUAUAGGAAGAUAGGUUAGGAAAUCUGAGAUAACACUUUCAGCCUUCAGAGAUCAAACCUUAAUAAAAAGAAAGUUUAUGAUUCUCAAAAAUAAUUUGAUUCCAUGUAAAUAGAAUACAAUUAAAGCAACACAAGAAGCAAUAUCCAGCUAAAUUAUAGAAUAGUUUGAUUCGAAUUGGCACAAUAAUGACCUAAAAGAAGAAUGGGAAAGCUGCUUUGGAAGCAUAAGUAUUGUUUACCUCGCCUCUCUAAUCCUUCUCUACACACAAUUUCUAAUAUGCUAUAAAGACGUACAAGACAUGUAAAAAGCAAAUAAAAUAUGCCUCAUUUUUAGGAAAGUAGCCCCCAGAACCAGAAUCAUAGGUUGCUCAAGUUUAGAAUUAUUAAUGACUGGGAGAAAAUUUGCACAGCAUAUAUGAACAGUUGGGAGAGUUAGGCAAAGAGAAAGUGUAUUAGACAGUUUUCCCAUCUCUGGGACAAACCACCUGAUACCUUCCACUUAAAGGAGAAAAGUCAGCUCAAACAGUGUUGUGUAGGGAGUAAACAAAAUGAAAAAGAAACCCAACAAUCUUUCCCAAUUUGACCCAAGAAUUGCAGGGAAAAUGGGAGGAGAGGAAGUGUGUAGAUUUUAAAAUAAUUUCUCAACAUAAUUUGUCUUCUCAAAACAUUAGUUUUAAAAAAAGUACUUUGUAGAUAACUGAGUAUCAUUUUGGCUGAAAGCAGUUUUGCUUUUUUUCCUGCCAAACACUAUUAGGGUAUCUGGCAGGAAAUUACUUGAUGGCUUCUUCAUAAAAUAUUUGGAGGAAACAUUGAAAGUAUAAAUGAGCAGGAGACAAUUAAGCUGGUCUGUUCUUCCUAAUUACCCGUGGAAUGGAAAAUCUUUUCAGGAAUAGUCAGG
ensembl:lncRNA